rnacentral:lncRNA from 1 species
GUGUAGAACCCUUUUCUCAGGCAAAACCUAACAUCUGACCGCACCCUUUUUGCUAUUAAAAAAAAAAAAAAGCUUCUAUUUUUUUCCUCCUGUCGUUAAGAUAAAUUCUCCAGUAGACAACCUCUCCCACUAAUUGUGUAUUAGCAACGUAUUUUAUCUUGAGAGCUUGUACACUGGGCUCUCAACGUGGUGUGGAAGGUAGCCUGUUACAGUGCUGGAUUCAUAAAAGGGCCUUUAUGGUUUGUGAAAGAAUAUCUGUGUGCUUAGGGAGGAAACUUUUUGAUCUGCAGAAAAGCCAGAAGACAUCUAGGACAUCCAUAAAAAUUCAUCAGAGAGCAUUUUACUACUGAGCUGCAAAGGUAGGAAAAAUAAAUUUUUUUUGGUUAGAAAAUAUACUUCUUUCAUCUGCGUUUCAAUAAUUUAUUCCCCUUGUUAGAUAUACAUGGAAUUGAUAUUGCUUAUUCUGACUAAGUGAAAAGUGUUAUUUCUACUUACUGCUCAAUUAGAAACAUGUAGUGUUUAAUUGUCAGUUUGAAUUUUUCUUUCAUACUAUUACAGUUUAUAUUUUACUAUAGGCAGAAUUUCCUCUUUAUCCUAAAUUUUGAUAUUCUCCAUAAUUUCAUCGUGCCUUGACAUUGCUGUAUAUAAUUUCUAUACAUCAGGAAGGCAAUUCUGUGUGCAUGUGUGUGUGUAUAUAUAUAGUUAGAAGUUAGAAA